rnacentral:rRNA from 1 species
GACGAACGCUGGCGGCGUGCCUAAUACAUGCAAGUAGGACGCAGUUGCGAACGGGUGAGUAACGCGUAGGUAACUACCUAUUAGAGGGGGAUAACUAUUGGAAACGAUAGCUAAUACCGCAUACUAGUAGAUGGACCUGCGUUGUAUUAGCUAGUAGGUAGGGUAAUGGCCUACCUAGGCAACGAUACAUAGCCGACCAGGGAGGGUGGUCGGCCAACCUGGGAAUGGGGAACGGGCCAAACUCCUACGGGGGGCAGCAGUAGGGGAUCUUCGGCAAUGGGGGGAAACCUGGCCGAGCAACGCCGCGGGAGUGAAAGAGGUUUUCGGGUCGUAAAACUCUGUUGUUAAGGAAGCGGUACUUAACCAGAAAGGGACGGCUAACUACGUGCCAGCAGCCGCGGUAAUAC